GUCCUGGCCCUAAACGGUGCGCACUUGCUGUGGCGGAUUCGACCCGUCCGUGGCGAAGGAACCCGAUAAGUGCGCCGCCUGGGAGUACGGUCGCAAGAUUAAACUCAAGAAUUGACGGGCCUGCACAAGCGGUGGAGUAUGUGGCUUAAUUCGAUGCAACGCGAAGAACCUUACCUGGCCUUGACAUGCACGUGGUAGAAGCGUGAAAGCGCAACGACCCCGCAAGGGAGCGUGCACAGGUGCUGCAUGGCUGUCGU
rnacentral:rRNA from 1 species